AUUGAACGCUGGCGGCAGGCCUAACACAUGCAAGUCGAGCGAGCGGCGGACGGGUGAGUAAUGUCUGGGAAACUGCCUGAUGGAGGGGGAUACCUACUAGAACCGGUAACUACUACCGCAUACCAUCAAAUGUGCCCAGAUGGGAUUAGCUAGUGGGUGGGGUAACGGCUCACCUAGGCGACGAUCCCUAGCUGGUCUGAGAGGCUGACCAGCCACACUGGAACUGAGACACGGUCCAGACUCCUACGGGAGGCAGCAGUGGGGAAUAUUGCACAAUGGGCGCAAGCCUGAUGCAGCCAUGCCGCGUGUGUGAAGAAGGCCUUCGGGUUGUAAAGCACUUUAAGCGGGGAGGCGUUACCCGCAGAAGAAGCACCGGCUAACUCCGUGCCAGCAGCCGCGGUAAUUC
rnacentral:rRNA from 1 species